CACCAUGAUGGAACUUUUUUUUGGGGGGGGGUGCCCAAAAUCUUGAAUGCCAAGUUUUCCUCAAACUCUGAGCCUGCAGAGAGGCCCAUGGCCAGCACCCCCUGCGUGAGGACAGCAAGGAGGCCUCUCCCCUGCAAACCACACUCAUCCUUCUCGGAAACUGCUCCCUCUAAGUCGGGCACGUUGGCACCUUCGCUCAGCUGAGGUCGCUCUGGGCCUGAUGAGGGGAGGCCACGCCGCAGAGGAUCCUGGGAAACUGCGCCUGUUCCCGCAGGAGGCAGCGAGUCCGCACACGGAGCUGGGGCUGAAUCACAGGAUCCAUCAACACCAGCCCACCUCCCAUCUAGGUGCAACCAGCUUCCAGCCUGCUCCCAAAGCUGCAGUAUAAGGUCUGUGAGAGCAGGCAUCUUCUUGAGCACCAGCUGCAUCCUCAGAACAGCCCUCGGCACACAGCAGGCUCUCCGGGAACCCUUGCCGAAUGAAACAGGAAACACCUGUCCCAACGCAGUUGGAUAAGGAGGCUGGUCUGUCUGUGGAGGAGGCGAAACAUGGGGAGGUGCUGGCUGAGCAGUUUCCAGAAUUGAGGAAGACCAAGCAUCAUCAGAUUCAGGAAGCCCGGCAGGCUUGGGGCCAAAGGGAAGACAUGCCACACGGACGGACGGACGGACGGAUGGGCAGGCGGCUGCAUCCAGCGUGAUCUGAGGCUCGAGGAAGCUGGAGGUACUGAUAUGGCUCAGCUAUUUGAUGGAAGAGAGGCUCAGAGAGGUCAAGGAACCUGCCCUGGGCCUCACAGCUGGACGGCGGAGGCAGGAUCUGAACCAGGGCCUGUCUGCGUGCCUUCUACUACACCCCACGGUGGGGACAGGGGCGGGCUGGCCGGCGGGGCUCCCCCUGCACAGGUCAGUUCCAGCACCAGGCAGGGCCCGGCCCAUGCUUUUCUGAGUCUCAUCCUGACGUCCCUUAGGGAUGGGAGAGGAGUCCGGGGCCUGGCCCUCCCUGGGGGGGCCUCGGUGUCCCCAUCUGUAAAGUGACAGAGUAGAACCAUCCUCUCAGCCCCCAGUGGUCACAGGGCGCUGGGUGGGGGGCAAGGUACAGACAGAGGCCACAGACACUGAACAUCUCACGGUUACAAACCAACCUCCAUGGGGGCCCACAGCCCUGACGAGCCCUGAAGCUGUUUUCCUGGCAUCACCCAGACACACGUGGAGCCUGGAGAGAGGGGCUCUGCUGGGCCCCCUACGGGGACAGGGGCUUCCCUCCUUCCCCCUCGAGCAUUUUGGGUUUUUUUUAUG